AACGAACGCUGGCGGCAUGCCUAACACAUGCAAGUCGAACGAGACCUUCGGGUCUAGUGGCGCACGGGUGCGUAACGCGUGGGAACCUGCCCUUAGGUUCGGAAUAACUCCCCGAAAGGGGUGCUAAUACCGGAUAAUGUCUUCGGACCAAAGAUUUAUCGCCUUUGGAUGGGCACGCGUUGGAUUAGCUAGUUGGUAGGGUAAAAGCCUACCAAGGCGACGAUACAUAGCUGGUCUGAGAGGAUGAUCAGCCACACUGGGACUGAGACACGGCCCAGAAUCCUACGGGAGGCAGCAGAGGGGAAUAUAGGACAAUGGGCGAAAGCCUGAUCCAGCAAUGCCGCGUGAGUGAUGAAGGCCUUAGGGUUGUAAAGCUCUUUUACCCGGGAUGAUAAUGACAGUACCGGGAGAAUAAGCUCCGGCUAACUCCGUG
rnacentral:rRNA from 1 species